rnacentral:rRNA from 1 species
UACGUAGGGGGCAAGCGUUGUCCGGAUUUAUUGGGCGUAAAGAGCUCGUAGGCGGCUAUUCACGUCGGAUGUGAAAGCUCAAGGCUCAACCUUGAGAGGCCAUUCGAUACGGGAUAGCUAGAGGUAGGUAGGGGAGAUCGGAAUUCCUGGUGUAGCGGUGAAAUGCGUAGAUAUUGGGAAGAACACCAGUGGCGUAAGCGUCUUGCUGGGCUGUAACUGACGCUGAGGAACGAAAGCCAGGGUAGCGAAUGGG